rnacentral:rRNA from 1 species
GAGUUUGAUCAUGGCUCAGAUUGAACGCUGGCGGCAGGCCUAACACAUGCAAGUCGAGCGGAUGACGGGAGCUUGCUCCUUGAUUCAGCGGCGGACGGGUGAGUAAUGCCUAGGAAUCUGCCUGGUAGUGGGGGACAACGUUUCGAAAGGAACGCUAAUACCGCAUACGUCCUACGGGAGAAAGCAGGGGACCUUCGGGCCUUGCGCUAUCAGAUGAGCCUAGGUCGGAUUAGCUAGUUGGUGGGGUAAUGGCUCACCAAGGCGACGAUCCGUAACUGGUCUGAGAGGAUGAUCAGUCACACUGGAACUGAGACACGGUCCAGACUCCUACGGGAGGCAGCAGUGGGGAAUAUUGGACAAUGGGCGAAAGCCUGAUCCAGCCAUGCCGCGUGUGUGAAGAAGGUCUUCGGAUUGUAAAGCACUUUAAGUUGGGAGGAAGGGCAGUAAGUUAAUACCUUGCUGUUUUGACGUUACCGACAGAAUAAGCACCGGCUAACU